CAAACGGGGAGAUCAUGACGUAAGCCGAAAUCAAGAGUUGGAUGCUUAACCCACUGAGCCACGCAGGUGCCCCAAUCCUGGGAUACUUCUGAUUCCAUUUACUUGACCAGAGAUCAAUCACGACGUAUGAGCCACUGGUCCUACCUCUCGUGCUGGCCCCUUAUCCUUCCUUGUGUGUGCUUGUGGGGACCCAAGAGAUGGGGCCAUCUCAGCUGCAGAUGCUGUAGUCUCCGUGUGUCCCAGAAGGAGCUGCCAAGUUGAGUGGUGUUAGAACACACUUCUAGAAACCCAGGGUCUGAUCCUACAACUCCACGGGUCGAGGAGGCUGCCAAUUUCUACUGUUUCAACAAGCUCCUCCUUUGGGAGAAACCCCAGACAGGGACUCAGUGUGUGUGUGUGUGUGUGUGUGUGUGUGCGCGCGUGUGUGUGCGUGUAAGAAUACAACAUCCAAACUGCAUAAACAAUGUUUCUUGAUUUUGUUUUUAGACAUUCAACCAAGUAAGUUCUCACUCAUUUUCAUCGUUUGUACGGUUUUCUUUUAGCAGCCUAUAGACACAUGGGCUAACUAAUCUUUUAAGAUUGGUUUCAUUUCAAAGUUUGGCAACAAUUGGGAUUCUGUCAUGGGUGUAGGAAUCCGAUGUUUUGUCCUGUUCUGGGAGAAAAUUCCAGAGAUACAUAGCUUCAAGAUGUGUUCAGAAUUUGUACAAGUUAAAACGAAGGCAGACCAAGUGCAAAGACAGCAUACACACCCCAGAAACUAGGACUUUAAAACCCGUUUACUGUGUUGACAUGUUUGAGUCUUCUUGCCUGAAGCAUUUCCUCACAGUGGCUUGGAGACUGGCACAUUUAAACACUUUUCAAGGUGUAGCCCUGUUUCUCUACGCCAACCUGGCUGGAGGGCGAUCAAAACCGAAACUGAAGGAAAGGUAUCAGGGCAACCUGUUUAUUUCGGGGAAUUAUAUUGUAUGCAUAUCACUCAAAUUCAGUAGGAACUCUACCCACACUUGUUGAGUCUUGUUUCUAUGACAAGACCUUUACCUGACAGAGGGUUGUUUCCAUAUUUCAGGGAGACCAACAGGAAAAAUCUGUGAUUUUUUUUUUGAGCAAUUUAUAGGCUUUUCCUUUACAGCUACCUUGAAUUUUUUAACUGAUCAUGGAAUUAUCUUGAACUGACGUCUGAGAAUCUGAGAACUGACUUGUGAUCUGCUUUGAACGUAGCACAGGACUUUCUAUAUGAUGAUCCUGCCAACUAACUUCAGCUUCAUUUUAUUAUUUAUCCUGACUUUGCCUUUGCCUUAGUUGCUUUACCUAAUCUUACUCGAUUCUGUAUAGAAUAUCCUACACAUAAUGCAUGUAAUAUAGAGAAAUAGACACACUGGAAGAUAGUAUGUCUUUGUCAGCCACCACAAAUCCUUUUUUUAUAAAAAAAAAAAAUGUAAACAAAUAAAAUGACAUGACUUGUGCCCUCAACUGGUGGCUCCUGUGUCUUACAGUAAUUUAUCUUUUUUUAUCGAUCUCUUUUUUCUAUUUUCUCCAAAUAAGUUAUUGGGCUCCCUUAAAAAUGAGUGGAAAAAGGGGCGCCUGGGUGGCUCAGACGGUUGAGCGUCCGACUUCAGCCAGGUCACGAUCUCGCGGUCCGUGAGUUCGAGCCCCACAUCGGGCUCUGGGCUGAUGGCUCAGAGCCUGGAGCCUGCUUCCGAUUCUGUGUCUCCCUCUCUCUCUGCCCCUCCCCCGUUCAUGCUCUGUCUCUCUCUGUCUCAAAAAUAAAUAAACAUUAAAAAAAAAAUUAAAAAAAAAUGAGUGGAAAAGGCCACUGGUCUCAUUUAGAAGGGCCCUAGGGCCUAGUUUUACUUUUCUUUUUUCCUUUCACUUUGCUUUCAUAUGCUGGCAUCUAGAUUCUCCAGUUAAGCAGUCUCCUUCCACACUGCCCCCUACACUCAAUAUCCAGUCCAUCAGGGAGUCUAACCCACAGCUGAGUCUGUACAUUAAUGCCCUAGACACAGCCCCAUGUCCCUGGGACAUGGUAAAUUGUAUAACAGUCCACCCUCUGGUUUGUUUCAGGGAAGCUGACAGGUCUGUAUGGAAAACAUCGCGGAGAAUGCUAUGCUGAAAAGCAAGAAUCAUCCAGAGACUCCCCUGAGGAGACUUUAGGUCCCUAUCAUUAAUCUUUGCCACACUCCUGUGAAAGAGGCACUAGGUGAGGGCUCUCAUCCAAUGUCUCAUAAAUGAGAAACGGGGCAGAUUGUAGGGGCGAGCCGGGGAGUGGGGAGCUCGUGCAUGGUCGGGGAAGGAAUGAGCGUGUCACGAAAGAAAACCUAAGACCCCCGAGGUCUCCACCACACUCAGCCUCCUUCUGACAGCUCCCAUGCAGGCUGCAGCCUGAGCAAAUGUAGGUUUUGUUUUUUGCAGGAGUGUUUAACUUUUGGGGGGACUGGUAUCCAUACAAGGCCAUCUCAUCUCCUUCUGUUUGGUUGUGUUCUCCAGCCCAGCCCCCCAAAGCCUGACACUACGUGUCCUGCUAUCAGUAGCUGCCAAUGAGUUUAAAUUCCAGGCCUCCGGGCAAAGGUUUUCUCCAGGUCUCUGCUCCGGCUCACCUCUUCCAGAAACGCUCUGACCAGCCACUCCUGGGAUUUCCUCUUCAGGCAGAGCUGGGCUGAUUGCUUGGCCCCAGCACAUUCUCUGAUGCCUCGUUGUCAUAUGUGCUCAGUGCAGUGGGCUGAAAAUAAGGUGGCGGCAAAGUUGGCUUUGUCCCCAAUCUUCUGCCACCAGCUGUGCGUAAUGGGCAUGGUUUUGCUCUUAGCAUUUUGCAGCCUGAAAAUCUUUCUCUGCAAAGCUGCAUGUCUCCAUAUGUGGCUCAUUAACUAUUGAAUGAAAGUAAUAACUAAUCUCCCUCGCCAUUCUAUUAUCUGUAGUACGGACAUCCACAAUGCAACAGCAGAAAAACAAAACAAGUAAAAAUGAGAAAAAUAUAGCAAAAUAUCAGAAUAAUUGGUAAUAAAAUAAAACGAGAACCUCCUCCAGCACAGCGUCCUCCCUGAAAGAUGGAGAUUAAACAUGCCUGUGGUGCAAUCUAAAGUGAUACAAUUUUCACCAGUCCCAGGAUGCCUUCAUUUUUCAUGUGCUUAGAGAGGUUAUCUCCUUGGAAACCCAAACAACUGUUGUGAAAUAAACUUCUAUUUAUCUAGAAAGCAGAAAAAACUAGAAUGUUAAAACGGAAAGAUCCGUGCAAUAAUUAUGUUAAAAAUGCUACCAGUGAAUGUCUGCUGAGCACACAAUACAUGCUGGGCACUGUGAAAAAUACUUUAUAUGUAUUACCUCAUUUAAAACUCAUAGGGGUGCCUGAGUGAUUCAGUCCAUUCACUCUUGGUUUCCCAUCAGGUCAUGAUCCCACCGUCUUGGGAUGGAGCCCCACGAUGGGCUCUGAGCUGAGUGCGAAGCUUGCUUAAGAUUCGCUCUCUCCCCCUGCCCCUCUCCCCAGCUCUCUCUCUCUCUCUGUCUCUCUCAAAAAUAAAAAGUAAAUCAACCAAUCACAAACAUUCAUGAGGGAAGUCUCCCCAUUUUACUUCGUGUGUGUAGCACCAUAUUUUAGUACUGAGUCUGUUUUAUGGUCUGCUGUCUCCGUGUAAGCGUUGCCGGGGAAAAACAUCUCACUGAACUAAGAAAUCAGACUCCUAGUUUCAAGGGAUAGCGUAUCAAUAAAAUCCACAUUCAUGAAUGUGAAAACCCUGUGGCAAAUCUAAAAGCAUUCUACAAAGGGAGGAAGACGCCACUGCUAUUAAAAAUGUCAAGGUGUGGGUGAUACGCCUGGCAAAUCUCAGUUGACCAGAACAUUCUGAAACAAAACAUCUCACACCGGUAACUUGUGAACAAGCUACUUCUCGCCCCGCGGCUGCAAAACACCACGCGUCUGUUAGAGGCCAGGCAUUACAACCUCGUGCUCUUGCCAUGCACUUCGGGGCCGCGACCACUUGCCGGCUCCGUCCGGCACGUCUGUGUCACGAGUUUUUCCCUUAACAGGCACAGAAAAACUCCUGAUGUUCAGCAAAGCGUUACAAUGCAGAGGUGUAACGAAUUACGGUGGCGGUGGGCGAAUUAAGCCCAGCGGAUUUACCGCCCCCACCGGGCUUUGGUUCCGCACGAACCCCGCCGCGUUCACCAGCAGCGCGCAGGGCCGGUGAUUAACCGCCCCCUCCGCGCCUCACCUGGUCUUCCAGGAGUUUCCAGCGCUCACGUGUGCUGGCCCACGGGGCGUGGAAACAGCACGAAAGCCAAUUAGGGCGAGAGGCUAUAAAAGCCCCCAGGAAGAACCGCCGGGAGCUCCUCACUUGUCUCGGCCCACGGGCUGGGAAGAAAAAAGCGGCUUUAGAUACAAGUGUAACCGAUCGGGAGACCUUUCUUCUAAGGUUCCAGAGAAGACAGGCUACUACGCCCUGUAAAUUGCUCCGUCUCGGGCGUGGAGAGACGCCGUAGCUUUCUGACUCCUUCCCCCCGCCCCCCGCCCCAAUCCUGCGGGGUGAAGCCCGGGGUGGCGGGAAAGCACGGCGUAGGCGCUGGAGGGGGAAAGGCAGCCGCAAGCCUGCCCUGGCCUUCAGAAGUGACCUGACGCCAGGAAGGAGGCUGAUUAACCCUUGGGCUCCCCCUCCCUCUCCAGGGGGUGCGAGCCAGCUCCUCCUCCUCCUCCUCCUCCUCCUCGCGGUCGAGCGACCCUGGAGCGAGAUGCACACAGCCGCCGGCUCUGCGCGCCCUGCCCUUCCCUCCCAGCCCAGGAAGAGGAGAGCGGCGAGGGCGCAGCCUAAAGUCGAGUCCGGUGAGUCUGUGGAUCCGGAGUGAACGGCCCGGGCGAGCUGGCUUAGGCCCCGCGACCCUCGCGCCGGCCGUGCACCGCAGACGACCCCUCCGCCCGCCCCUCCGCGGAAUUUGCACCCGGCACCCGGCUCCUGGCCUGACCCCAGGCCCCGCGACGCCCCCAGCCCCGUGCCUCGCGCAGGUGGCGCAGACGCCCCUGUUCUCCGGCGCCCCCUGCCGGGGAGAGGGAAGGCGGCGGCCGCGGACGAGCCGGGCGCAGGCAGGGAGAGAGCUCCGGAGCCGCCGGGAAGAGGCCGGGAGCUUCCCUGAUGGUGCCGCCGCCUCCGAGUCGGGGAGGAGUGGUGAGGGGGCAGCUGGGCAGGAGUCUGGGUCCGCUGCUGCUGCUCCUGGCGCUGGGACACACGUGGAGCUACCGAGAGGAACCCGAGGACGGCGACAGGGAGAUCUGCUCGGAAAACAAGAUCGCCACGACGAAAUACCCGUGUCUGAAGUCUUCGGGUGAGCUCACCACGUGUUUCAGGAAAAAAUGCUGCAAAGGGUAUAAAUUUGUUCUUGGACAAUGCAUCCCAGAAGAUUACGAUGUGUGUGCCGAGGCUCCCUGUGAACAGCAGUGCACGGAUAACUUUGGCCGAGUGCUGUGUACCUGUUAUCCGGGAUACCGGUACGACCGGGAGAGACACCGGAAGCGGGAGAAGCCGUACUGCCUGGAUAUCGACGAGUGUGCCACCAGCAACGAGACACUGUGUGCCCACAUCUGCGUCAACACCGUGGGCAGCUACCGCUGUGAAUGCCGGGAGGGUUACAUCCGGGAGGACGACGGGAGGACGUGCACCAAGGGAGACAAAUACCCCAACGACACUGGGCACGACGAGAAGUCUGAGAAUGCGGUGGAGGCCAAAACCUGCUGUGCUACGUGCACGGAGUUUCACCAGAUGAAGCAGACGGUGCUGCAGCUGAAGCAGAAGAUUGCCCUGCUCCCCAACAGUGCUGCCGACCUGGGCAAAUACAUCACUGGCAACAAAGUGCUGGCCUCAAAUGCCUACCUUCCAGGACCUCCUGGGCUGCCUGGGGGCCAGGGCCCUCCUGGCUCACCAGGACCUAAGGGGAGCCCAGGCUUCCCCGGCAUGCCAGGCCCUCCCGGGCAGCCCGGCCCACGGGGCUCCAUGGGACCCAUGGGACCGUCUCCUGAUCUGUCCCACAUUAAGCAAGGCCGGAGGGGCCCUGUGGGUCCCCCGGGUGCACCAGGAAGAGACGGCUCUAAGGGAGAGAGAGGAGCACCCGGACCCAGAGGGUCGCCACUCUUUGUGCCUGUCCAUACCGCGGAGGACCCCAGGGAGUUACCCUCAGGGAUUAAGUCAUCUUUUCUGCCACCCGGAGAAAGGCUGCCUGAGGAUGAAGCCCGACCAGGAAAGCACAACCAAGAGGCCGAGAACAAAGAACCCACACGCCACGAUCUGACCACUUGGAGCAUGUGCAAAGUGAGACCUACCCCGACAUUUUUCAGAGAAUCACAGAAGGACCCUUGCGGCCUCGGGAGUCUCCAAAGCAAGUUGGAUGAAACAAUGUGGAGAAUAAAUGAGCAGUUUGGAACUCCCUCGCUUCCCAAAAGACCUACACAAUUUCUUGCUGUUGGUGAAGUUCAUCAGGACUGAGAAAAACAGAGAGGCUCUAACCUUGCAAGGGAGGUGGUUGAAAGCCACAAGCGUUUGGAGUCAAGGAGAACGAACGUGUUGGCUCUCCGCUGUUUCAUCUGCUUGGGUGAAGGGAAGCGGAUGUUCCAGGUUGGACAAGAGACUGAAACAAGCUAAAGAAAGGCAGCCCCUUCUAUCCGGCCGCCUUUCCUACAUCUGUCCUCAGAAGUUCCUGCCCAGCACCUAACUUUCUAGGAUUCGAUACCUAUCGCCUGGUCUGCUCUGCUCCAAGAAGCCAGGUUAGUGCUGGACCAAACACGAUGUGUGGAGGACUGAGUCGGGGCGUCUGUGUCACAGCAGCCACGGGAACAGUCACUGCUGGGUGUCGGGGGCAGAGCCCAGAGCAGUAAUAUUCCAGAGCACGAUUGAUCUCCAGAGCAUUGCGGCGUAAUAGAAUUGCUGAGGGUUGCAGGUUCAGUUUGAGCAGCACUAUCCGACCCUAUCAGACCCAAUGCCCUCCCCUUUGAUGACAAAUAUUGUGCAAUUCUCCCCUACGGCCUCCUAAAAGGACAUGCACAAGUGUCUACACAGAGUUUAUCUGGCCCACUCUAAUGUCCUCACAAUAGAUAAAGGAUAAAUAAAAGAGAAGUGGUUAUAAUAAAUUCAUACGUAUUUCAGCAGCUAGAAGACACAGGGGAGUAGUCUGAUGCUUGUGCCUGGUCACGCAUUCACCCAAAUAGGACAACCGCCAAGCGGAAUUGAGUGUUGGUGACUCAGAUCCCACGAGAGGCAUUGUACUGGUGAAUAAUUCUCUGUAAGAUUCCAACCAAGCGUAAGUGUAAUCUUCCCUUAAUUUACAUAGAAGUAUCAAGUUGUAAAAGAUAAAUUGUGUUUAUAUGUAGAA